AGCGAACGCUGGCGGCAGGCCUAACACAUGCAAGUCGAACGAACCCUUCGGGGUUAGUGGCGGACGGGUGAGUAACACGUGGGAACGUGCCCUUUGGUUCGGAACAACUCAGGGAAACUUGAGCUAAUACCGAAUGUGCCCUUCGGGGGAAAGAUUUAUCGCCAUUGGAGCGGCCCGCGUCUGAUUAGCUUGUUGGUGAGGUAAAGGCGCACCAAGCCUACGAUCCAUAGCUGGUCUGAGAGGAUGAUCAGCCACACUGGGACUGAGACACGGCCCAGACUCCUACGGGAGGCAGCAGUGGGGAAUCUUGCGCAAUGGGCGAAAGCCUGACGCAGCCAUGCCGCGUGAAUGAUGAAGGUCUUAGGAUUGUAAAAUUCUUUUACCAGGGACAAUGAUGACGGUACCUGGAGAAAAAGCCCCGGCUAACUUCGUGCCAGCAGCCGCGGUAAGAC
rnacentral:rRNA from 1 species